rnacentral:rRNA from 1 species
UGGGAAUCUGCCCUUGGGUACGGAAUAACAGUUAGAAAUGACUGCUAAUACCGUAUAAUGACUUCGGUCCAAAGAUUUAUCGCCCAGGGAUGAGCCCGCGUAGGAUUAGCUAGUUGGUGAGGUAAAGGCUCACCAAGGCGACGAUCCUUAGCUGGUCUGAGAGGAUGAUCAGCCACACUGGGACUGAGACACGGCCCAGACUCCUACGGGAGGCAG